AGACUGGCAUGAACGGCUAAAUGAGGAUUAAACUGUCUCUUGUAAUUAACCUAUGAAACUGAUCUUGUAGUUCAAAAGCUACAAUAAACACACCAGACGAGAAGACCCUGUGGAGCUUCUAAACCAAAACCAAACUAUGGCCCCUUGGUUUUUAGUUGGGGCAACUUCGGAGUACACACCAACCUCCGAUAAAGUAUGGUCGAGACAGACAAGUCAAAACAACCACCUUGACCCAAUAGUUUAAUACAAACUAUUUGACCAAUGAACCAAGUUACCCCAGGGAUAACAGCGCUAUCCCCUUUUAGAGUCCCUAUCGACAAGGGGGCUUACGACCUCGAUGUUGGAUCAGGACACCCAAAUAAUGCAGCCGUUAUUAAAGGUUCGUUU
rnacentral:rRNA from 1 species